rnacentral:tRNA from 1 species
GAGGGUAGAGCUCAAGUGGUGGAGCACAUCCUUAGCAUGCACGAGGUCCUGGGUUCAAUCCCCAGUACCUCCA